UUAUUUUAACAAAUUAAAGUUGAGUGAUUGAAAUAAAAUAACCACAUAAAUUGAUAACAGUUAGUGCAAUUUACCUAAAUUUCAACUUGUUUAAACUCGAGAAUUGACUCAUCUAUAGGCUCAUGAGUAUAUAUGUAUAACUAUGACUAAUAAUAAGAUAAUUAAAUUAAUUAACAAUAACAACAACAACAACAACAACUCAGUCUUAGUCCCAAACUAGCUAGGUGAAAAUCACCAUUAUCAAAGCGCGCCUGAGGCACAAGGCACAGCCCCAAGCGCCCGAAGUUAGGAAAGGUGCAGCAGCUCAUCGAAGCGCAUCGAGGUGUGCCUCAAGGAGGCAAGGCGCAAAUAAACAAAGUGGCUAGGGUUUCACUUUUAAAAGUGCACCAGCAGCCAGUGAAAAGAAGAAGAAAAAGAAGACGGAAAGGAGAGAUCAAACCGGGGAUUUCCAACAGGCAUGUUUUAAUUUUUCUU
rnacentral:misc_RNA from 1 species